GUUUUGCAGCUUCAGAGCCCCCAAACAAGUUCUGUACACUUCAAGAAGUCUCUUCAGACGCCAUUUUUCGCAUGUAUGUUUGCUGUACACUUCCAAGGAGUCCCUUUUACAAGACAAUUCAUACGAAACAUCAACCGUGCUCAUAAAAUAGGCAGUCGUAAGAAUGCAGAAGUAGCACCAACACCAAUGCUAACACCGCGUAUAUAUAUAUAUGCACAGAAAAGAUUCAUCUACUUACCACGCGAUUCUUCAAUUUCUGAAGAUGUACUUGAUGAAGGAUGAAGAGGACUGUUAAUUUCCAAAGAUGUACGUGGUGAAGGAAGAUGGGGACUCUUAAUUUCGGAAGAUUUACAAGGUGAAGCAGGACGAGGGCUUUUAAUUUCCAAAGAUUCACGUGGUGAACGAAGAAGAGGACUUUUAAUCUCUGAAGAUUUAUGCGGUGAUGCAAAAUGAUGACUUUUAGUUUCUGAAGAUUCGCGCGGUGAAGGAAGAAGGGGACUUUUAAUUUCCCAAGAUGUAUCUGAAGAAGGAAGAUGAGGGCUUUUAAUUUCCAAAGGUGUAUGUGGUGAAGGAAGAUAAGAACUUCUAAUUUCCAAAGAUGUACGCGGUGACGGAAGAUGAGGACGUCUAAUUUCCAAAGACCUACUACGUGGUGAAAGACGAUGAGAAGAACUUUUAAUUUCCAAUGACAUACGUGAUGAAGGAAGGUGAGGACUUCUAAUUUCUAAAAAUGUAUGUGAUGAAGGAAGAUGAGAAGGGUUUUUUGCUUCCAAACAUGUACAUGAUGAAGGAAUAUGCGGAGGACUUCUAAUUUCCAAAGACGUACGUGAUGAUGGGAUAUGUGGAGGACUUUUAAUUUCCAAAGACGCGUGUGGUGAUAGAAGAUGAGGACUUGACGUAUGUGAUAAAGGAUGAUGAGGACUUUUAAUUUCAACAGAUGUACAUGAUGGAGGAAGAUGUGAAGGACUUUUCCCUGGAUUAACAUCUCCUAUGUCUUGAACCGUAUGGAUACUCAUGUUCUCUUCGUCAUUUCCAGGAGCAGCUUUACCCAGUGAAAAUAAGGUUGAUUUGAACUGACAAUACGCGGAUUGGAGUUGUUGAUACAUCUCUUUCAUCCUCCCAUGUACCUCGUCCUGCCUAUCCAUCUCAAUGAGGAUCGGAGCAGGAGGGUCCUUGAACAAUGGUUCAAACCUUUGCCUACAGUACUCGUGGAAGAGGAGUGUACAGAUUAUCAACGGAAUAGUGAAGCUUGAUGUAGAUGAAGAUUUUUUAAAUCCAAAAACCGCCAAUGCUAUAAUUUGCAUCAGCACCAUUGAGAAAAUUGUUGUGUUGUGCACAAUAGGCCAAUAGGUUCCACCAGUUUGGUAUUUUGUCACAUAUACAUUGAGGAUCUGAUUACGAUAUACGAGGUAAGCAAUGGAAUAAUAAACUACCAAGAAUGGCAGUAUUAAAGGUGCCAAAAU
rnacentral:misc_RNA from 1 species